rnacentral:rRNA from 1 species
AUACGGGGGGGGCAAGCGUUGUUCGGAUUUACUGGGCGUAAAGGGCUCGUAGGCGGCCACUUAAGUCGGUUGUGAAAUCCCUCGGCUCAACCGGGGAACUGCGACCGAAACUGGGUGGCUUGAAGCCGGGAGAGGGAUGCGGAAUUCCAGGUGUAGCGGUGAAAUGCGUAGAUAUCUGGAGGAACACCCGUGGCGAAGGCGGCAUCCUGGACCGGUCUUGACGCUGAGGAGCGAAAGCUAGGGUAGCAAACGGGAUUAGAAACCCGAGUAGUCC